AUUAACGCUGGCGGUGUGUCUAAUACAUGCAAGUCGUGCGCCCCGCAAGGGGAGCGGCGGACGGGUGAGUAACACGUUGAAACCUGCCCUAAACUCAAGGAUAACUCCGCGAAAGCGGAGCUAAUACCGGAUGGUCCCGAAAGGGUAAAGCGCAAGCGGUUUAGGAGGGGUCUGCGGCCUAUCAGCUAGUUGGUAAGGUAAUGGCUUACCAAGGCUAUGACGGGUAGCUGGUCUGAGAGGAUGAUCAGUCACAAUGGAACUGAGAUACGGUCCAUACUCCUACGGGAGGCAGCAGUAGGGAAUCUUUCGCAAUGGGCGCAAGCCUGACGAAGCAACACCGCGUGAUCGAUGAAGUUCUUAUGAAUGUAAAGAUCUUUUCUGGGGGAAGAAUUUUGACUGUACCCUAGGAAUAAGCACCGGCUAACUCCGU
rnacentral:rRNA from 1 species